AGUGAACGCUGGCGGCAGGCCUAAUACAUGCAAGUCGAACGGCAGCACAGCAGAGCUUGCUCUGUGGGUGGCGAGUGGCGGACGGGUGAGGAAUACAUGGGAAUCUGCCCAGUCGUGGGGGAUAACGUAUGGAAACGUACGCUAAUACCGCAUGCGCCCUACGGGGGAAAUCGGGGACCGCAAGGCCUGACGCGAUUGGAUGAGCCCAUGUUCGAUUAGCUAGUUGGCGGGGUAAAGGCCCACCAAGGCGACGAUCGGAUAGCUGGGUCUGAGAGGAUGAUCAGCCACACUGGAACUGAGACACGGUCCAGACUCCUACGGGAGGCAGCAGUAGGGAACAUUGGACAAUGGGGGCAACCCUGAUCCAGCCAUGCCGCGUGAGUGAAGAAGGCCCUCGGGUUGUAAAGCUCUUUUGUCCGGAAAGAAAAGCGAAUCGGUUAAUACCCGGUUGUUCUGAC
rnacentral:rRNA from 1 species